GCAUAUUUAUUGCUUUCCAAAGAGUUCUAUUCUUAUACGGUUCAAAAUCUAGUACCACAUUAAAGCAACACUAUUUGUGUAUAGUCUACUUAGCAUGCUUAUCAAAUAAAAGGGAAGAAACGAAAGAAUGGUGAGUCCACAUUUUAUUAAUAUCAUAUAGUGAUAAUAUUUUGCAACUUAAGAAAUAAAAAUAGAGCAGAGAGCAUGUUUGUGUAUUUAGACAGGAUAAAAAAAUAUAGUUUGUUUGCAGUAACUAUAAGAAUAUGUUACACUGUUUUAUUGCCUAAGAACUCUCGUAGAAAUGUCCGGAACUUCAUGGCCCAAUGGUAAGGACGGGCUCCUUACUGCACCUAAGUUGCGAGUUCGAACCCUGCCGGAGGGAACUAGCUCAUGAUGUCUCUGGACACCCCACACGGAUAUGGAUCCAUGCUUUAGGGCCCAUUUGCAUACCCGGAGAGCAGAGCAUGUUUGUGUAUUAAGACAGGAUAAAAAAAAUAGUUUGUUUGCAGUAACUAUAAGAAUAUGCUACACUGUUUUAUUGCUUAAGAACUCUCAUAGAAUGAAAAUAUAUUGGAUAACCACUUUCUAGUUUCUACUAUUCUAUUGGAGUGACGAGGAUGUGGUCCAGUGAAGAUGAUGAUAAAAUUAGUGAGUAGAAACGACUACUUAUAAAAAUAUUAAAAGCUUAAUCCAUAGAUGGAAAUGAUUAGUUAUAUAACAGAACUAUUGUGUGAAGUGGGAAUUGAUGGGGUUUUGUUGUUGCCUUGUUGGAGGAAUGACCCAAUUUCCCAUAGUGAUUUAUACUAGUUUAUUAAUUUUGUUAAUAUUAACAGAACGUGAUAUGUGCAUCUUUUCUUGCUUUCACCUUCUUUACAUGAUCUCAUCAUGCCAAGUAGAGCGGCCUCUGCUCCAAUCAAUUUCAACCACUUGUCGUUGUGUUCUACCGUAUUCGUACUUGGGUUUCCACUACGUUGCAUAGCCAGAGUUAGAAAAAUAUAAACAACUAUUCGAACUCAAACUCAUGCAACUUGAUCAAUGUCUUUUGUAUAUUAUUUUGUCACAUUUUAUUUAAAAUAUGAGGUCUCUAAGAUACAUGUACACCCAUAUAUAUAUAUUAUUUGUAUUUAUAAUUUUUUGAAUAGUAACACAAUGAUAACUAUUGUAAACUAGUAUUAGGUGAUUAUGCAAAGAUCAUCUUUACGUCUUCUGAAUAGAUGAUAAUCACAUUACGUUGAGUUUUAUUUCUAUAUAUCGAAAGCAUACGGAAUUUGAUGAUUACGAAUCUCCACUAGUUAUUAUAUAUAUGUCGCACAAAUUAUCAACUAAACGUGAUAUUUCACUAAGAAGUUUUUACCAAAAGAACUUUAUAAGAAGUUCAAAAACUUUCAUAAUACGGUGGCUAAGUAAUGAUGAUCAUAGCCCAUUCAUCAAUAUACUAGUAGGAUUUAUCGUUCAGUAGGUACUCCAUCCGUUCCACAAAUAUAGACUUUUUAAUAUUUUCACGCAUAUUAAGAAAACACAUUAAACUACCAUAAUAAAUGUAUCGUUUUUGUAAUUUUUAAUUUUUAAUAACUUUUAACCAAUAGUAAUUCAAUAAAAUCAAUUAAUUUUCUUGAAGUUUACAAUUUUUUCAUAAAACACAAAAUAUACAUCUUUUUGAAACAUUUUUUUCUUCUAAAAAGUCUAUCAUUAAGGAACGGAGAGAGUAUUAUUUAAUUUUGACAUAAUAAUCAUGGAUUAAAUCAAAGCAUAUGGUAAUGUGUUUGGGUUGAUUUAUAAAAUUUCAAUUUUUUAAAAAAUGUGUUCAAUAGGUAUUGUUGUCACAGAUAAUUUUUUUUGUCAACAAGACUGACACUUAAAUAUCAUGGUUCUAGGAAAUUUGUAAAACCGAACACUUAUAUUUACAUCUAUUAUAGAAGUACCUCAUACAUAAUUUGAGUGGAAUAAAUGGAUACAGUCUGGAACAUCAUGGCCCAAUGGUAAGGACGGACUCCUUUCUGCAUCCACGUUGCAAGUUCGAGCCCUGUCGGAGGGAACUACCUCAUGAUGUCUCUGGACACCCCACACGGAUAUGGGUCCAUGUUUUAGGGCCCAUUUGCAUACCCGGAGAGAGGGUCUAUCCGUGGGCUGCACCUCCCCUUGGGGAUUAGUCUGGGCCUUUCCAUAGGCCCGAGAUACCCCCAGGUUAAAAAAAAAAAUAAAAAAAUAAAAAAAAUAAAUGGAUACAUAUAAAGAGUUAUAUUGUUAUUCUAGUGGUAUAGGAACUCCAGCUGGAGUGUCCGCCCCUGGGUUCGAGCCUUGGCC
rnacentral:lncRNA from 1 species